UACGUAGGGUGCGAGCGUUAAUCGGAAUUACUGGGCGUAAAGCGUGCGCAGGCGGGCUUUUAAGCCAGACGUGAAAUCCCCGGGCUUAACCUGGGAAUGGCGUUUGGGACUGGAAGUCUGGAGUGCGGCAGAGGAGACUGGAAUUCCUGGUGUAGCAGUGAAAUGCGUAGAUAUCGUAAGGAAGACCAGUGGCGAAGGCGGGUCUCUGGACAGUUCCUGACGCUGAGGCACGAAGGCCAGGGGAGGCAAACGGGAUU
rnacentral:rRNA from 1 species